UACAAACAGCCGAAAGAGCGUCCAG
rnacentral:piRNA from 1 species